rnacentral:rRNA from 1 species
UACGUAGGGUGCGAGCGUUGUCCGGAAUUAUUGGGCGUAAAGAGCUUGUAGGCGGUUUGUCGCGUCUGCUGUGAAAAUCCGGGGCUCAACCCCGGACUUGCAGUGGGUACGGGCAGACUAGAGUGUGGUAGGGGAGACUGGAAUUCCUGGUGUAGCGGUGAAAUGCGCAGAUAUCAGGAGGAACACCGAUGGCGAAGGCAGGUCUCUGGGCCACUACUGACGCUGAGAAGCGAAAGCAUGGGGGAGCGAACAGGGGUUAGAUACCCGGGUA